GACGAACGCUGGCGGCGUGCUUAACACAUGCAAGUCGAACGGUGAACCUCUUCGGAGGGGAUCAGUGGCGAACGGGUGAGUAACACGUGGGCAACCUGCCCCCGGCUCUGGGAUAACUCCAAGAAAUUGGGGCUAAUACCGGAUGUUCACCGCUUCCCGCAUGGGUGGUGGUGCAAAGGGUUUCCGGCUGGGGCUGGGCCCGCGGCCUAUCAGCUUGUUGGUGGGGUAGUGGCCUACCAAGGCGACGACGGGUAGCCGGCCUGAGAGGGUGACCGGCCACACUGGGACUGAGACACGGCCCAGACUCCUACGGGAGGCAGCAGUGGGGAAUAUUGCGCAAUGGGCGGAAGCCUGACGCAGCGACGCCGCGUGGGGGAUGACGGCCUUCGGGUUGUAAACCUCUUUCAGCAGGGACGAAGCGCAAGUGACGGUACCUGCAGAAGAAGCACCGGCCAACUACGUG
rnacentral:rRNA from 1 species